GACGAACGCUGGCGGCGUGCCUAAUACAUGCCAGUCGAACGAGAGCGCCCGGUGCUUGCACUGGUCAAUCUAGUGGCGAACGGGUGAAUAACACGUGGGUAACCUGCCCAUCAGAGGGGGAUAACAUCCGGAAACGGAUGCUAAAACCGCAUAGGUCUUCGAGCCGCAUGGCUUGAAGAGGAAAAGAGGCGCAAGCUUCUGCUGAUGGAUGGACCCGCGGUGCAUUAGCUAGUUGGUGAGGUAACGGCUCACCAAGGCCGUGAUGCAUAGCCGACCUGAGAGGGUGAUCGGCCACAUUGGGACUGAGACACGGCCCAAACUCCUACGGGAGGCAGCAGUAGGGAAUCUUCCGCAAUGGACGCAAGUCUGACGGAGCAACGCCGCGUGAGUGAAGAAGGUUUUCGGAUCGUAAAACUCUGUUGUUAGAGAAGAACAAGUGCUAGAGUAACUGUUAGCGCCUUGACGGUAUCUAACCAGAAAGCCACGGCUAACUACGUG
rnacentral:rRNA from 1 species